GCGGGAGUGGUGGAAUGGUAGACACGCUAGUCUUAGGAACUAGUUCGGCAACGAGUGAAGGUUCAAGUCCUUUCUCCCGCACCA
rnacentral:tRNA from 4 species